rnacentral:lncRNA from 1 species
UUUUUUUUCUCCUAGAGAAUCGUGUUGCUUAGUGGCAAAAGGAAAAAACAACCAAAAAAACCCCCCAAAACUCCCCCAAUUACAACCAGUAGUUCGUUUCAUGAGAUGCCAGACAGCCAUCUACAGCCCCAGUAGGAACUAAAGGGGAUUUUCCCGUCCCUGGCAGUGUUCAAGACCAGGUUGGACACAGGGGCUUGGAGCAACCUGCUCUAGUGGAAGGUGUCUCUGCCCAUGGCAGGGGGUUGGAGCUGGACGAGCUUUAAGCUCCCUUUCAACACAGACCACUCUGUGAUUCUAUGGUUCAUGAGUUCAUGCAGACAACAGAAAGGACCAAAUAGAAGCACAGCAGAGGCACCUGUGAAGGGUUUCUCACCGAUGCUUUAGGGCACACUGGCUACAUCAGGAAGAAUCUGGUUCUAGCUCAUUUAAAACCUUCAUGAUUCUUAACAAUCCAAAGCUCCUCAGAACGAGUAUGAGCUAGGUGCUUCAGCAUCCUAUGAAGUCCCUCCCCUUCUCUCUGGAAGAGGAUUAUUGCUGUUCCAAGCAUCCUUCCUUAGACUGUUGUAGGUCCUGGUAUUGAUGAUAACUAUUUGGUUAGAUACUGGUAUGUUGUAUGAGUCGAGAGUUGUUUUUAUCAGAUUUUCAUCCUUCAUUGUCAAGGCAAAGUUAUGACUAUUGAUACAAUAAUGACCAUGAAGCAGAGAUGCCUUUUGAAUUUACAUAUGGAAUUAGUAACCUGUUUGGAACUCCUGGCAUGCUCUGUGCCAGGCACUGACAUGACAAAGCUCCCAGCACAGUCUCCAAGUAUUUACCUGAGAGUGGUAAGAAAGUGGAGUUUCCUUGAACUCUUCAGUCUAUCUUUGAGCAAGCUUGUGUCUGAAGAAACCUUCAUCUCCCAGAAUCUAAUUUACACACAGAGCAGCCUCAUAUCCCUGCACCCUCAAGAUAAAUAAAGGGGUAAAUUGAAAUACUGAAUAUUGUAAGGCCUUGUUCAUUCAAUUAUUUUUUUUCUCCAAGAUUACCCUGCAGACCUCAGUGAUUAACUACUUCACAUACCCCCUCAGAAAAGCAAUUUCUUAGCUGCUGAGAAGUUAGAGUGAGAUCCAGAACAUGGCAAAACACAUCUGGUGUUUGUUUCAAAGGAGGAGAGUUGCACAGGCAUUUCUGCAGAAUAAAACGAGAGCUCAUUUGAUUAAGAAGGGGAGUUGCUGUGCUGGUCUAACCCUUCCUUAGCACAUGCCAGAAUAGGUUUCCAUGUACGUACAUCACCUUUCCUGCACCUUGGAUGGAUUACCAUUUUGAAGAUCUGAAUAAAUCACUCAACUGCAUCUGAUUGUACAACAGUUUGGAAAUAGUGAGGAAAUCUUGAGCAAGCCCAAUUUUAAGACUUAUCUUCAGAAGCUCCUGAGCAGGAACCUUCUUUGUCCUCUGUUUGCACAGUGCCUAGUUCAGCAGGGUCCUGUCGUGACUAGGGGUCCCGAGUUUGUAUUGUACAGCAAUACAAGUAAUAAAUAAAAAAUAGCAGUACAUAGUAUAUGAUCAAUAAUACCUACUGUAUACCCUGUUUGUCAAACACACUGCACCCCAGCAA